UACGUAGGGUGCGAGCGUUGUCCGGAAUUACUGGGCGUAAAGAGCUCGUAGGUGGUUUGUCGCGUUGUUCGUGAAAUCUCACGGCUUAACUGUGAGCGUGCGGGCGAUACGGGCAGACUUGAGUACUGCAGGGGGAGACUGGAAUUCCUGGUGUAGCGGUGGAAUGCGCAGAUAUCAGGAGGAACACCGGUGGCGAAGGCGGGUCUCUGGGCAGUAACUGACGCUGAGGAGCGAAAGCGUGGGGGAGCGAACAGG
rnacentral:rRNA from 1 species